UCUUCCUGCUUUACUCUUUCUUUCCACAGACCUAAAACCCCAAUCUUCCAUCACUAUUUCUUCAAGCAUAAAGGGUUUCAUUUCAUGGUUCAUGGAUUAUUUCAAGAUUCUUCCUUUGGAGAUUACGUUAGACGUUUUAGCUCGCUUACCUGCUGAUACAGUCCUUGACUGUAAGUUGGUAUGCACAAAUUGGAGAAACCUUGUUUCUCAUCAUCCUUAUUCUCCAAAACACACUUACAACAUCUCAAUCAUCCUUCUGGAUCUGCUGCUGAUUCUGGUGAGUUAGGUUUUCUUGCUUUGACGUAUAUGAAGAGAUUUUUUUGGUAUAUUGAAUACAAUGAGAAUCGUGAUGAAUCGGCCACGCCCAUUCAGAGAAUUAAAAGGAUUAAUUUCACCUAAGCAAUUUUACUUUCUUGGUUCCUGUAAUGGGUUGAUCUGUCUUCUUGACCUCUACCACCCAUCUGUUUGGAUUUGCAACCCUGUUACCAGAGAAAGUGUUAUGCUUCCUAAAAUUAACACAUAUUCUAUUGGAUUUGGUUAUGUUUCUGAAACAAAUCAAUACAAAGUUGUAGGAAUAGCUGUGUUGAAGACCCAUGUAGAAGUCUGCAUAUACACUCUAGGCAGUGGAAAUGGUUGGAGAAAGCUUGCGAACUUCAAUUUUGAAUCCAACUAUGAAUGGGCACAAGGUGUAUUUGCUGAUGAAGCUCUUUAUUGGCUGGACGAUAAAUUGGAAAUGAUUAUCCCCUUUGAUUUGGCUGAGGAACAGUUUUGUGAACAUAUUUCACCACCUCCUUUGCCACCAGACAGUGAUUGGUGUGAUGCUAGGAUAGGGGUUUUGGAUGGGUUUUUGUCUUUUGCUAUUUAUCUAUGGGUCGAAGGAGAUAGAAUUAAUGACAUAUGGCUACUGAAAAACAAGAAUCUCAAUCAGGAAUGAAAGAAGGAGAGGGACAUCAGUCAUUGGUUUGGAGUAAAGAGUUUAGGAUUGACAUAAGCAAAUUGUUUGCCGUUACAAAGAGUGAUCGUGCUUUAGCUUAUGAUUUUAACCAUCUCAGCAUUUAUGAUCCAGAAACUUCAACCUCCAGAAGGCUUGUGAAGUUCAAGGAUUGGCUUCUUGAAGUAUCCCUUCACAAGAACACCUUAGUUUCGCUGAAAGAAUUAGGGGAAGAAGGUACAAAAAUAAUGGAGCCAGUUGAAAUUGAAGAAACUGGAAGCCGUCAUUAUUCUUUCGAGCAGCUCCAGGAGGAUGGAUGGUGAACCCUGAAAACAUAUAAACUGUCAAAUCCAGCUUUUAUAUGUGCUGAGGGAGCGUAUUAGGAAGGGGUUACAGUUGUAACCUUCUGAGCCUACUGGACUAUAUCUGUCAUUUCAAAACUAUGGAGAGAUUUCCAGCAAUCAAAUAAUAUAGUUUGUCGAUGACACCAACGUAUAUAGUGUAACAAUCCACAAAUUUGAAGGAAAUCACACAACAAAACCCAUUAAUGGUUCAAUCUUUAUAUUCAAUCCAAGGACGGGACAAUUGUUUCUGAAGGUCAUCCAUAUGUGUGUGUGGGCAGGGCAGAAACGUAUCGGCAUGCUGGGCAAGUGGAAAACUGCAUAGUAAGUAUCUGGUCUUGAGCGGUCCUUGCCAGUUGAGGAGCAUCCAAAGCAGAUUAUUGUCACUCGUAAAGGAAUGCUUGACCCUCUGGAGGUCCACUUGCUCGAUUUCCCCAAUGUAGUUACUAAAGGCAAUGAGUUCCAGGUUGCUUGAAGAUUGAGAAAUUAGGUGGUUUAAUGCUGAAGGCUUGAGCCACAAAUGCUUCUGUUUAAUCUCUACGAUUAUCUGUUGACGAGUGUAUCGUCUUACACGGCUCUCUCGCGUUUGAUCGGUUGAGCUUGCGCACCUUACAUGUGAACAACGAGAAGGCAAAUAUGUUGAUAAAGCCUGAUACAAUGGUUGUCACUGGACCACGUCACAUUUGGCCUUCUCACACUGAUGAUCAAUGGAUGAA